GACCAGAGCCUGACUUGACUCAGUGUGAGGAGGUGGAGCUCUCCCCUCUCAGUGUGAACGUGGGGACGGAGAGAGUGGGGGCCGACUGCUUCGAGCUGCUGCGAGUGCUGGGCAAGGGGGGUUAUGGCAAGGUGAGGGAGACACCUGUCAGGGGGAGAAGGCCGAGCUGUGUGUGCUGUGAGUGAAGGGUAUGAACUCCAUGACUGUGCAGGGCGAGGGGUGUGUGUCCCUUCACUGUGCUCGGUCCUACUGUUGUCCUGUGUGAUGUUAAUGUGCUGUAUUGUGAAGAUUGUGAAGACCAGAAGCCAUAUCA